UUAUUUUCCAUGUUUCAUGCUCUGAGGCUACGUUUUCCCUGUUUGUUUUCCUAGCUCCCUUUGGUGUACUCUCAUGUGACAUGUGGCAGGAAGAACUGAGAUAUUCUGUCACUGCUCUCAGUGCUAGAAGAUCUCAGAGACAAAAAAAACUGGUGUGAGUAAAAUACUUUUGUCAUUCACAGGGGUGGAAAGUCUACCAAGAAGUUAUUUAUUCUGUCCUUAACAAUAUCUGCAUCUCCCCAGGAACAGAGCCUUGUCGAGCCCCUCCGCCAACAGGCAAGCCACACUUCAUCAGGCAGUUUUUCUCAGGGAUUCUGAGAAAAUUCUCAGGGAUUCUGAGAAGAUUCAAACAGAACUUUCUUAACACCUCUAGCUGCAGAUAUUACUGCAGAAAUAUCCCGCUGGGAAAAGGCUGCAUAAGAUCUGGCCACCAUGUAAAUCUCACACUGAAGACUCACUUGGGAAGAAGAAAAGACAAAAAUUGUUGUGCUGGCUCUCUAAGUGAAGGUCAGACAAGCAUCCUUCCAAAGCCUCUGAUUCUGUUUCUUCAAGCACACAAGCUCACAGGUAGACACAGACUUCCUGUUCAUUCCUGGUCCUGUGGAUGUCCUGAAUCCCUGCUGAGACCCUUGUUCCUAUUUCUUUGCAGACAUUCUUCCAGUUCUCUGCUGAUGUAG
ensembl:lncRNA